rnacentral:rRNA from 1 species
UACGUAGGCAGCAAGCGUUGUUCGGAGUUACUGGGCGUAAAGAGUGUGUAGGCGGUUCUCUAAGUUCGGUGUGAAAUCCCCAGGCUCAACCUGGGAACUGCGUCCGAUACUGGAUGGCUUGAAUUCGGGAGAGGGAUGCAGAAUUCCAGGUGUAGCGGUGAAAUGCGUAGAUAUCUGGAGGAAUACCGGUGGCGAAGGCGGCAUCCUGGACCGACAUUGACGCUGAGGCGCGAAAGCCAGGGGAGCAAACGGG